rnacentral:rRNA from 1 species
GACGAACCGUGCGAACGUUGUUCGGAAUCACUGGGCUUAAAGGCGCGUAGGCGGCCAACUAAGUCAUACGUGAAAUCCCUCAGCUUAACUGGGGAACUGCGUGUGAUACUGGAUGGCUUGGAUUUGGGAGAGGGAUGCGGAAUUCCAGGUGUAGCGGUGAAAUGCGUAGAUAUCUGGAGGAACACCGGUGGCGAAGGCGGCAUCCUGGACCAAUAUUGACGCUGAGGAGCGAAAGCGUGGGUAGCAAACGGG